UUGACCUCAAAUCAGGUAGGAUUACCCGCUGAACUUAAGCAUAUCAAUAAGCGGAGGAAAAGAAACUAACAAGGAUUCCCCUAGUAACUGCGAGUGAAGAGGGAAAAGCUCAAAUUUAAAAUCUGGCAGCUUGCUGUCCGAGUUGUA
rnacentral:rRNA from 1 species